rnacentral:rRNA from 1 species
UUAAGCUAUAAAGGGCGUAGGACGGAUGCCUUGGCACCAAGCGCCGAUGAAGGACGUGACAAGCUGCGAUAAGCCACGGGGAGUUGCAAAUGAACUUUGAUCCGUGGAUUUCCGAAUGAGGAAACUCACAUAUGGUAAUGCAUAUGUAACCAUACAUGAAUACAUAGUGUAUGGUGGGGAACCCGGGGAACUGAAACAUCUAAGUACCCGGAGGAAAAGAAAGAAAACAAUCGAUUUCCUGAGUAGUGGUGAGCGAAAGGGAAAGAGCCUAAACGUUUGUAUAGUGAUAUAUAAACGGGUUACGGACCCCAUAACGUACUGAUUUUUGUAGUUGAACACAGUUGGAAAGCUGGGCGAAACAGAGUAAAAGCCUCGUAGGCGAAACCGAAAUCAGACCGGGGGUAUCCAGAGUAUCACAGGACACGAGAAAUCCGGUGGGAAGACAGGAGGACCAUCUCCUAAGGCUAAAUACGACUUGGUGACCGAUAGAGUAUAGUACCGUGAGGGAAAGGUGAAAAGAACCCCGGGAGGGGAGUGAAAGAGAACCUGAAAUCCUAUGCUUACAAGCAGACAUAGCACUACUUGAAAGUGUGAUGUCGUACUUUUUGUAGAACGGGCCGGCGAGUUACGAUGUGUAGCGAGGUUAAGUGAUUAAGUCACGGAGCCGAAGCGAAAGCGAGUUUGAAAUGAGCGAUAGUUGCAUGUCGUAGACCCGAAACCAGAUGACCUAUUCAUGGACAGGUUGAAGCAGCGGUAAGACGCUGUGGAGGACCGAACCCACGUUCGUUGAAAAGACCGGGGAUGAGCUGUGAAUAGCGGAGAAAUUCCAAACGAAUCUGGAGAUAGCUGGUUCUCCUCGAAAUAGCUUUAGGGCUAGCCUCUCGUUAGUGUACCGAAGGUAGAGCACUGUAUGAGCUAGGGGGCUUCACGGCUUACUGAACUCUAACAAACUUCGAAUGACGGAUACAUGAUGCGAGGGAGUCAGACAGUGUGAGAUAAGUCUCAUUGUCAAAAGGGAAACAGCCCAGACCUACAACUAAGGUCCCAAAGUACAAGUUAAGUGGUAAAGGAUGUGUCGACGCUAAAACAACCAGGAUGUUGGCUUAGAAGCAGCCACUCAUUUAAAGAGUGCGUAAUAGCUCACUGGUCGAGUGAUUGUGCGCCGAAAAUGUACCGGGGCUAAACUGUGUACCGAAGUCUAGGGAUCGUGAUAAACGAUCGGUAGGGGAGCAACGUGUGCGGGCUGAAGCCGAAGCGGAAGCGACGGUGGACUGCACGGGAGAGAGAAUGCCGGCAUGAGUAGCGAGAGCAAAGUGAGAAUCUUUGCCGUCGAAAGCCUAAGGUUUCCUGAGGAAGGCUCGUCCUCUCAGGGUAAGUCAGGACCUAAGCCGAGGACAAAAGUCGUAGGCGAUGGACAACUGGUUGAUAUUCCAGUACCACCUUUAGCGUUUGACUGAAGCAGUGACACAGAAGGAUAGACAGAGCGCGUGACUGGUAGAGCGCGUCCAAGCGAUGAGGGAGUUAAGUAGUGAAGAACGCUUAACAAUCCUGGGUCGUGAUGGGGACUGAAAAUAAGUAGGGAAGCUGUUGAAUUCACGCUGGCGAGAAAAGCUGCUAAGGAGCGAAAGGGUGCCUGUACCGCAAACCGACACAGGUAGGCGAGGAGAGAAUCCUAAGACGAGCGGGAGAACCCAUGUUAAGGAACUCGGCAAAAUGACCCUGUAACUUCGGGAUAAAGGGAGCCACGAGAGUGGCCGCAGAGAAUAGGCCCAAGCGACUGUUUACCAAAAACACAGGUCUGUGCGAAGUAGAGAUACGACGUAUACGGGCUGACGCCUGCCCAGUGCCGGAAGGUUAAGGGGAAGUGUUAGGGCAACCGAAGCACGGAACUUAAGCCCCGGUGAACGGCGGCCGUAACUAUAACGGUCCUAAGGUAGCGAAAUUCCUUGUCGGGU